UUGAUAAUAUGGCGGACCAAUUCAAAUGAAAGUUGUUUGUGUUUUUGUAUCGCACAAUUCUACAUGAAAAUAGUGUUGGAUUUUUAUAAAUUUGUGUUGGAUGUGGCAAGAAAUGAUUCCUUUUGGCGAUCAAAGAAGAAUCAUGGUGAAAAAUAGAAGAUUUAAUCUUCAUGUGAUUGGCAUUAUGAUGAUAAAGAAAUACCAAUAAUGGGUUUCUGGCGUCGAAUGGUACAGAGAUUUUGGCGGCCCACAAACAGUGUAACAUAUGAUAAUAAUUUCGCAUUAUUCACUGGCCAAAAUGUGGACAUCAGCCAUUUUAGCUUUGGUAGUUUUAGACCAAAAUGUUUGCCUAAUGUGAAUUAUAUUUCUUUUUUGCGUGAUGGUGUUGAAAAUUUCUCCCAAGACUGCUGGUUAGAAAAUCAUUUGCAUCAGUUUGCGCAGCCAGAGUCAUUCCUUAAUACAGAAUUAAACAAUCAUGGGUGUGGUACACAAACAUUUAGUUCAACUUCAAGCAGCACCACAGAUAGCUUGACCAUAUCUUCAUCAGGAAGUCAAAUUGAAGAAAUUCUAAAUGAUUUAAAUAUUCAACUACAUUCUUAUGUAGAAUCACCACCAUUAUAUGAUGAAGAUCCUCCACCAUCUUACGAAGAGGCUAUUCGAGAUGGAGCUUCAAGAUCUUUUAAUACAAAUAAUGACUUUUGGUGGUAGAAAUCAAAUACUGUAUGGUCUGCUUUUUUCCAACUUUUCGAUGUAUUAAAAAGUAGAAUAAAUGAUGCAGGUUUAAGUUUGUGAUAAGCAUUUCUUUGUUAGAACUUAAAUAAGUGAAAUUUGCAUGUUGUAAGUUUAAAUUAUGAACUUUUAAUCAAUACUUUUUGUACAUUAAAAAGAUAUUAGCAAAUACUUCACUACUGGCUCCACCAUAUGUAUUACAAAACACAAUACUGUUUCUGAAGUAAAAAUCAGAAGAUCUUGUUUCUCAAAAUAUGUAUACAUAUAUCCACUUCCCAGCUUUGAACACAGCUAAAAUCUUUUCAAUUCAGUUCUUGUAUUUACAAAAAGUAACCUAGUUUUUCAUGAUUUGAUGUCUGUUUUUAAGUUGGAUUUGCAAUAUGUUCUCAUUUUUAGUCCACAUAACCAACCGUUAUUUCUGUCCUGCAAAAGCAAAUUUACAUUUUCGGCAAAUUUAUGUAGCUAGUGACUAGUGAGAACUUCGAUCUGUUCACAUGAAGAAGGGGGUGAGACAAUUAUGUUAAAAAGGUAGCAAUUGCCUAUUAUCUAUUUCUAAAAUCCUAAUUAUUGACCUGAUUGCUUUAUGCUGUCCUAAUACAUAAAACCUUAUUUAUAAUCUAUAAAAUAUGUGAAAAGUUUUAUGACUAGCUUAAAGAUACAUUAUGGGAGAUUCGAUAACGAGUUGGCAGUUCUCACUAUGAAUAAUAAUUAAAAACUAGAUAACGUAAAAGCAAUUUGCUGAAAAUUUCAUUCAAAUUGAUCCACUAUGAACCACUAAGUGAAUGAAAGUUCUGCCUCGCCUCGGUCAUCAUUACUAAAGUCAGUACGAUAAACAGCAUAAUCUAGAUUAUCCAUUUAAUCGUUAAAUCGAGAAGGAAAGUUAUGCAGUAAAUCGGCUCACAAUCCACUUACGAUCUCAGGCUAGCGAUGCCAUCGAGAGUUGAUUAUGGUCUGGAUAAGUUAAUUAAUGUCUAAUUAAUAAUUAAGAUAACAUUUCAGGCCUAAAGAAAGACCUGCAAUAGGCAGAUUUAGCUCUUGCAUAAUGUAUGUUUAAGAAUUUAAAUUAAACUGUGGCCAAUUACAUUGUGUUACUUUUAAAUUGAAGUAGUCAAGCAUUUGCUAGGUAGACAUUUUUAUACGCCCACAUUUUCAUGUGAAACUUCCAAUCAAUAGAAACAGGAAACACAAACCAAAUACAGACGGUUUGAUGGGAUCAAUUUUGACUCAAAAAUGAUGCAUUUGAUAUUCAGAUAAGUUGAUAUUAAUUAAUAGAAUACAAUAUCAAAAAAACAUUGUUUUAUCCAACGUUUCAUCAGUAAAAAUACUAACUUCUUCAGGGAUAAAGAACUAAUACAAAAUGACUGGAAGUCAGUUAUGACAUCAUAGGAAGUUAUGACAUGGUGGGAAUGAUGACGUCAUAAAAUUAGAUACAUAACAUGAAAGGUUAGCUUAACUAAAACUUAGGUAAAGUUUUACAAGUAAGGAAAAAUUAUGCAUGAUUAUGAAUGAUUUUGAAACCCCCUGGAUUUAACUCAUUUAAACCGUCAGGCCAAACUGAAUCAAGUCUACAUGUAUGAAUCCAUAGACUUUCUGCUGUGUUCAAUUUUUUCUGAUCUUUAUCAGGAAUUUUUUGUACUAUGGUACACACGAAAUCCUGACCAGGUAUAUUACAAUGGGAGGCUACAUGGUCGGAAUGGGCAUGUUUUUUAAGCUUUAUGUUACUUCUGUGCUUAUUAAGUCGAGUGCUGAAUGGAAUAAUGGUUUUCCUACAUAUUGCAUACUACAGGUUUUACAUGUUAAACAAUAUACAACAUAAGAACUGGCACAGUUGAAAGUCUCUAAACUUUAAUCAUUUAGUGAAGGUGAGGUUGUCGAUGGUCAAAGGUAGUUGUCCAUGGAAUAAUGUUCACAUUACAUGUAGUAUCAGUCUUGGAUUGAUAGGUCAAUAAUUCAGUCCUGGUCUUCUGAUCUGCUCGUUUAAAUGCCUUUAGAAUAAUUUUCUUCGGAUAUCCGGAUUGUUUAAGAUAGGAUCCAAAAUUUUUUAGGUUUGAUUUGUCCAGCUAUCUUUACUACAAAUCCAUUUUAUACGUAGAGCACCACUGUAAGGGAUAGCGUUAAAGGUGUGUUUGGGAUGACAACUUGAUCGAGGAAGAUAAUGAUGGCAAUCUGUUUUCUUGGAAUAUAGAUUUGUCUCUAACCUUCUUUUUCUUUGACAACUUUUACAUCUAUGAAAUUAACUGAGUUACUAAUUAUAUCUACAGUAAAUUUGAUCUUUGAAUGUUGUUGGUUUAAUUUUGAAACAAAAUUAUUACAUUCUUUUAGUGGGAGUGAAGAUAAAGCCCAAAUAUCAUCGAUGAAUCUGUAUGAAAUAUCUGGUUUAUUAGGUAAUGGUUCAUAAUAGGUUUUCAUCCAGUAUGACAUAUAAGUGUUAGCAUAUGUCACAGCAAACAGAGUUUCCAUGGCAGUUCCCGAUAUCUGUCUAAAAACAUACCAGAAAAUUCAAAUUCAUUGUUGUGAAGAACAAAAUCUGCUAUUUGUAGAAUUGAUUCUGAAUCUUCAUUAGUCACAAUUUUAGUUUCACGUAAUGCAUGUUGCAGUGCUUCUAAACCUUCAGAAAUAACAAUAUUUGGAUAUAAACUGAUAACAUCAAAGAGUCAUAAGCUUACCAUUCUUAGGAAUAGAUUCACUGUUUAUAGCUUCUAUCUUUUGAAGGAAUUGAGUGGUGUCUUUAAAGAUACAUUAUGGGAGAUAAGAUAAAGAGAUGGCAGUUCUCGCUAUAAUAGUUAAAAACUAGAUACCCCGGUAGUGUAAAGGUAAUUUGCUGAAAAUUUCAGUCAAAUUGAUCUACUAUAUGCCGAGAAAGAAGCGGGUGAAAUUUUUGCAUAGUCUCGGUCAUCAUUACUAAAAUCAUUAAUAUAAACAGCAUAGUCUCGAUUAUCCACUUUUUCUGAUUUAAUUAUCAACGGCCGUUAGCGGCAUAUAAGAAUCUAAUCCAGCCAACAUCGAAGGCUAGCCUUGACAUCGAGAGUUUAUUACGGUCUGGAUAAGUUAAUUAAUGUCUAAUUGAUAAUUUAGAUAACAUUUCAGGCCUGAAGAAAGACUUGUAAUAAGCAGAUUUUGCUCUUGCAUAAUGCAUGUUUAACUAAUUCAGGGCGGUAAAGCGGUGCCACAGUUGUAAUUUCCAGUCAAGCCAAGAAGAAGCUUUACGAGUACAUGUAGGUGCUGUAACUUGGCUACAUAUGGGUCUUCCUUGUUGUAUAUCUAUAGGAUUAGUAACUUUAUGAACUUUUCCUAAAAUGUAGAAAUGGGCUGGUUUAUCAACAGGUCUGUCUAAGAUAGCUUUCCGUUCAUUUUCCGGAAUUUUAAGGCCAGUCACUAAUUUUGUCAAUUGUCCAUGAAUCUCGCUUGAAUUGUCUCCACUGACUUUCUCAUACACAGAGUUAUCUUCUAGAUGUUUCAUACAUUCUUUAACAUAGUCUUCUUUAUUCCAGAUGACAAUACCACCGCCUUUAUCAGCUUUACCAAUGAUAAUAUUAGGGUCAUGCUUCAAACUUGAUAAGGCUUUCCUCUCUUCGCGAGUUAAAUUAUCUCGUACUUUAUUUUCUGUGUAGUUUUUAUGCGCCCACAUUGAAAUGUGGUCGUAUAUUGUCGUCGACCCUGUCCGUCCCGUCCGGCGUCCAGCAAUUGUGGACGCUCUAAAGGCUAAAGUUAAUAUCCGAUUGACUUUAAAUUUAUACAGUGUUUAAGGCCAUGAGACAAAGAAGCCUAUCCGAUAAUUACUGCCAGAGUUAUGGCCCUUGAUCACUUCAAAAAAUCUUGUGGACGCUCUAGUUUAUUAUGUCGUAGCGUCUGUCCACAGGUCACAUUUGUCGAAACUUAAAAUAUAGGUCUAUCUUUCAAAAAUCUUGGUUCCUCUCGAUAUUGGCAUGUAUCGGACUAUAACUUCAUGGAUUAUAGCCCCUGAUUGUUUGAAAAAUCAUGUUUUUAGCUUGUUGACAAUCUAGAGGUCACAAUUUUCAUCUGAUUUUGAUGAAACUUGCAAUGCAUGUUUAUAAUCCAAAGAUCUUGGUGCGUUUUGAUAUUUGCGCAUAUCCAUUCGUAACUUCCUGUAUUAUGGCCCCUGAUUGUACGAUAAAUCAAGUUUUUAGCUUGUGCUCCAUCUAGAGGUCACAAUUAUUAUCCGAUUAAAAAAAAUAUGUUAGAAUAUAUCACCGUUACACUGUAAUGUUGGUUGAGGUCGAAUUUUGUGAAAAUUGGACCAAAACUGCCAAACGAAAUGGCAACCCCUUUAUAAUGUAAAUAUAUCAAGGUUGUGGACCCUCUAGAGCUCACAAUUUUGAUCUGAUUUUGAUGAAACUUUUUAAAUUUAUGUUUAUAUCACAAAGAUCUUGCUUCUUUUCGAUAAUCGCACAUAUCCGAACGUAACUUUCUGGAUUAUGCCCCCUGAUUGUACAAAAAAUCAUGUUUUUGGCUUGUGGACCCUCUCAAGGUCAUAAUUUUUAUCUGAUUUUAAAAAAAGCGUUUAAAUGUAUGAUCGUUACACCCUAAUGUGUUCAAAUUUUGUGAUAAUUGGAACGAAACUGCCUGACAAAAUGACCGCUCCUUGUACUCCUUGUAUGUGAUACAAAGGUUUUGGACCCUCAAGAAGUCACAAUUUUUAUCCAAUUUUGAUGAAAAUUAAACUAUAUCUUUAUAUCCCAAAUAUCUCAGUCCCUUUCGGUUUUCGCGCAUUUCAGACCAUAACUGCCUGGAUAAUGGCCCUUGUUUGUACAAAAAAUCGCUUUUUUUUUUAAGGUUGUUCUCCUUUCAUCUCUUGCAAAAAUGUGGGCGUAUCUUGCCUGGCAACCGCUGGUAAUUUGAAUUCCAAAACCGAAAAAAUGCAUAGAUUGCUAUGUGUAAUGAACCAUCAAAGUUGGUGGAAACACACUGCUAGAUUAAUUUCAUCAGUGAUAUUUGGCAUUAUGCAAAUGUUGCUACAUAGGGAUGGGUAUGAUUAUUUUUUUAAGAUGUUACAGGCAUUAAUAAACAAAAUAAAUUUGUAAGAUGAAACUAAAGGACUCCAGUCGUAGCUUAAAUCCAACAUAUCAACAAGUCAUUGUUUUUAGGUUUGUUCUUGUAGCCAGGUCUGCUGAAAAUACCAAUUCAUUCUUGCUACAAAGAAUUGCCAAAUCUUGGUACUAUUCUAUUGUUCAGGAGCUAAAUGUAAAAUCAGAAAAUUUUGAUAAUUUGUAUCAUGUUUUAGAUUUACUAUAAUACUAUCACAUACUGGCAUUAAUAAGUGCUAAAAAUCAAAUUGUUUUGUUUUUUUAUAUAGUUUACUGACAUGUUUUUAAAACACUGUGUAUUUACAUUUGUUAUAAUAAAAUACUAUAAUAAUUUUGUCUUUAUAGAAUUUAUAUUACACCCUUUUUGCACAAUAUUUAAUAUGUGUAGAAAUAUUAUUAUAUUAUUACAUAGUAAUGUUUUGUAUCCUCAAUGAGAUUAUAUAUCCUUGUUAGUUUAUUUUCAAAAUUUUCCAAAUGGGUCAGUGAAUGAAUAGAAGCAGAAUUUUGAUUCACAUUUGCGAUGUUCAGAACAUUGUAAUAUUUAUGAGCACACAAAUUGAUAUUUGCAAUGUGCAAACAGUUUUGUAUAACUUUUAUUGACAUUCCAGAAUUUGUCAGUGGGAAGAAAAUUCACAUUCACAAGAAUUAUUUCCCUGUGUACAGUUUCAUUGAGAAAGAAAAAUACACAUUAAUAUAUUUUACUAUCCUGCUAUAUAGUUUAUUUUCACCAUAUUUAUUUAAGAAUAAAUUUGUUAGAGGCUUACCAGUAGUUUUGUAAAAUUUGUAAGUUGUUUUGUUACUCAAGGUUCAUUUUAUACUUGAAAAACAAUUUUUUUUUUUUUUUUUAUUAUUAUUAUUAAUAUUAGUAGCUAAAUUGGUUUAGUUAUCAAUAUCUUGCCAGGGUAAAAAGUUCAAGGCAUGAAUACUAGCAAAAUUUUGGUAAUUCCCAGUUAUUUGAUUCACAUUUGCGAUCCGUAUCUUGCCCGUGUAAACAAGUAUUUCUUUUGAUAUCUUUGUUUUUUAAACUAAUGAAGAAAUAUUAAAAAAUGCAAAAAUAACUUCCAAUGCCAUAUUAUUGUUGGUACAGUAUAAACAGUAUAUAUAUUUGUUUGUUGGUGGUUUAUUCAGUAAACUUGACAAGUGUGAGUAAAAUUAAGGACAGAUAUGAGAAGUCCCUCAAUAUGUCUUUAGAAAAUUUCUAAUUUCUAUUUUUUCUGAUGUUCUUGAAUUGGAAAUGUAGAAAUAAAUUUAUUGCUUGAUUUUAUCUACAUAUGUUAGCCCAUCACUAACGUUUUAUUUUUGUUUUAUUGUGGUUUUGUUUAUCGUUAUUAUUAUUGUUGUUUUGUUUUCUUUAAACCAUAAUCUAUUUUUGGAUUUUUAUAAUAGGGGCUUAUAUUUUAUAGUAAUAAAAUCUAUUUAUCAUAAA